rnacentral:rRNA from 1 species
UACUAAAGCAAUUAGAUACUUUAUUUCUGAAUAUUUAUUUGUUCAAAACAUUACUAUAUUUAGUAAGGGAGAUUAAAAAUUAUUAUGUAUUCUUAGGCCUUAAGUACUGUAGGGGAACAGUUAAUUAAAUAAAAGAAAAGAAAAAAUUAAAUUUU